GUGAACGCUGGCGGUAGGCCUAACACAUGCCAGUCGAACGGCAGCACAGUAAGAGCUUGCUCUUACGGGUGGCGAGUGGCGGACGGGUGAGGAAUACAUCGGAAUCUACUUUUUCGUGGGGGAUAACGUAGGGAAACUUACGCUAAUACCGCAUACGACCUACGGGUGAAAGCAGGGGAUCUUCGGACCUUGCGCGAUUGAAUGAGCCGAUGUCGGAUUAGCUAGUUGGCGGGGUAAAGGCCCACCAAGGCGACGAUCCGUAGCUGGUCUGAGAGGAUGAUCAGCCACACUGGAACUGAGACACGGUCCAGACUCCUACGGGAGGCAGCAGUGGGGAAUAUUGGACAAUGGGCGCAAGCCUGAUCCAGCCAUACCGCGUGGGUGAAGAAGGCCUUCGGGCUGUAAAGCCCUUUUGUUGGGAAAGAAAAGCAGCAGGUUAAUACCCCGCUGUUCUGACGGUACCCAAAGAAUAAGCACCGGCUAACUUCGUG
rnacentral:rRNA from 1 species